rnacentral:rRNA from 1 species
GACUGCUCAGUAACACGUAGCUAACCUACCCUUGGGACGGGGACAACCUCGGGAAACUGAGGCUAAUCCCCGAUAGGUGAGGGACGCUGGGAUGCCUCCUCGCCCAAAGCUCCGGCGCCCAAGGAUGGGACUGCGGUCUAUCAGGCUGUUGGUGGUGUAACGGACCACCAAACCUACGACGGGUACGGGCGAUGGGAGUCGGAGCCCGGAGAUGGGGACUGAGACAAGGCCCCAGGCCCUACGGGGCGCAGCAGGCGCGAAAACUCCGCAAUGCGCGCAAGCGUGACGGGGGGGAUCCCAAGUGCCGUUGGUCUUUUGAUCGACGGUUUUUAGGAAGUCUAAGAAGCUUCCAGAAUAAGGGCUGGGCAAGACUGGUGCCAGCCGCCGCGGUAACACCAGCAGCCCGAGUGGUGGCCACGAUUAUUGGGCCUAAAGCGCUCGUAGCCGGAUCAGCAAGUCCCUUGUGAAAUCGGGCCGCCUAACGGUUCGGCGUGCAAGGGAUACUGUUGGUCUUGAGGCCGGGAGAGGUCGGAGGUACUCCUGGGGUAGCGGUGAAAUGCUCUAAUCCUAGGGGGACCACCAGUGGCGAAGGCGUCCGACCAGAACGGACCUGACGGUGAGGGGCGAAGGCUAGGGGAGCGAACGGGAUUAGAUACCCCGGUAGUCCUAGCUGUAAAGCAUGCGGGCCAGGUGUCUAGCGCUCCUUGAGGGCACUAGGUGCCGGAGGGAAGCCGCUAAGCCCGCCGCCUGGGAAGUACGGCCGCAAGGCUGAAACUUAAAGAAAUUGGCGGGGGAGCACCACAAGAGGUGGGACCUGCGGUUC